UGUCCUACCUUAAAUCAUGAUUGGUUA
rnacentral:piRNA from 1 species